rnacentral:lncRNA from 1 species
GCCAGAACCUGAACCUUGACCAUGCCCUUGGCCUGACCCAGAGCCUGAUCCUCGUCCUUGAUUACUUCCGGAUCCUGACCCAGCCCUGGAACCCGCGUAUGACCCGGCGUAUGAACCUGCUUCUGAGCCUGAGCCGGACCCUGAACCUGAUGAAGAAGCCGAACCUGCUCCAGAACUAGCUCCAGAGCCCGAGCCCGAGCCCGAGCCUGAGCCUGAGCCUGAACCACUCCCACCUAACCCAAGGCCUACACCAACACCCAAUCCAACUCCCACCCCACCCAGAUCCAGACCCAGGUCCUUUCUUGCCACUCGGCUCUGCGAAACCACAACAAAGCUUGAAACAAGCAAUGCAACGAGAGCUAAAGACCUCAAACCGGCCAUCGUAUGAGCUAAAGAAAUGAGUUCUAAUCUACUAUAUUCGUUGUUGAUCUUUCCUUUGGCUAGAGACAGCUAUUUAUAGUCGAAGAGAAUGAGGUUGGUACGUAAAGAAACGUGUGAAUAUUAAGAAUAGAAUAAAGAAGUGGAGGUUGGAGUGGCCUCUUGCUUUGUGAAUUGGAAUGGUGAUUUGUACAUCUGAAAUCUGGAUGGACGAAGUUUUGUGGCUGAGAACGUUGCGACUGCUGAGUGGAGCUUUGUUGGAGCGCUGAAGCCCUGGACACGUAUCACUGCAGUGCUGGCGACCAUAUAAUCCACUCACUUAAGUGGAGUACGAAUCCUCACUCAUCACACCCUAAGCCUAGAUGGAGGACGCAAAGGCUGUCACUAACGAUGAAGUUUGUCAAUUUUUUUAAAACUAUCGUGAGCACAGCUUGUUUCAUCUGCUCACAAGGAGAGCUGCAUCACAGUUCACAAAUGGUCCAAACGAUCGGAAAAUAAAGAUGUGAAGUGGAGCAAUUUGCGAAUACUAAUUGAACAUUAAGAGGCUAUUCCUUUCCUCUUAUUUUUUCUUCUUUUUUUUAAUAUGAUAUUUUAAGUAUGUUCUUUUAUUAAAAAUGGCUUUUUCGAAGAACAAAAUUGAAUUAUCGUUGUGAUAUUUAAUUUAUUAUUAUUAUUAUUAUUAUUUAUCCAUUGCCUGUGUCCCGGGGUUUCAAGAACUAAGGGUUAAACAUAACAGAAUGUAACAAAUGUAAUGUUGAUAUGGUUGUUGUUUUCAGUUCAGCUUCUCUGCUAUCUGUUGCUACAGUUGUUGAAUAUAUUGAUUGUUAUCAGGUGAAAAAGUUUGUAGAAGACUCUAAAUUAAUAUCUAAGAAUAUGGGUAAUAUAUAUUCAAGAUGUCAAUACAUAUUGCAUAGAACAUGCUCUAUUAAUAAAGAUGUCACAUAAACAUAGGUCUCAUCCACUUAUUUCUUCCCAACAUUAAUUAUUCUUCUAUUGUUCUCUCCUUGGUUUUGGUCAUUUAAUAGCCAUAACCCUCACCAUGGCCUGAUCCUUCACCAGAGCCGCUUCCUUGGCCAGAGCCCUCCCCAUAUCCCUCACCAUGACCAGAACCAGAUCCAGAGCCAGAACCUGAACCUUGACCAUGCCCUUGGCCUGACCCAGAGCCUGAUCCUGACCCAGCCCUGGAACCUGCAUAUGAUCCAGCGUAUGAGCCUGCUUCUGAGCUUGAACCUGAACCUGCCCCAGAACUAGACCCAGAGCCCGAGCCCGAGCCCGAGCCCGAGCCUGAGCCUGAACCACUCCCUCCUAACCCAAGGCCUGCGCCAACUCCCACCCCACCCAGAUUCACACCCAGGUCCUUUCUUGCCACUCGGCUCUGCGAAAGAACAACAAAGCUUGAAAUAAGCAAUGCAACGAGAGCUAAAGACCUCAAACCGGCCAUCGAAUGAGUUAAAGAUGUGAGUUCUAAUCUACUAUAUAUGUUGUUG